GGUUUUAUCACGUUAGUGAGGAUGGUUUCGAUCUCCUAACCUUGCGAUCUGCUCACCUCCCAAAGUGCUGGGAUUACAGGCAUAAGCCAUCUCGCCUGACCAGUUUUAAUUUUUAAUAUGAUAAAUAUCAGUAGAUAAGACCCACAUGAACAAAAGUUCUUUGGGGUUCCUCUAUAAGUUUUAAGACUAUAAAGGGGUCUUCUGAUAAAAAAAAAAUGUGAGAACUGCUGCCCUCUGUAUGCUAAAAGGGGAGAAAUAAGCUCCAUAAGGAUCUUGGUGGCUGCCAUAUUGGGAAAGAUUUGAAGCGUCCCAAGGUCUGGGGCAUGUUGAGACAUUAUCUGUAGGGUAAAAACAAGCUUUUGUACCUCGCAUCCCCCACCACUAAGAACGAGACACAGCACAGGGUAGGUCCUUCUAGGUUUUAAAGCGUCCUGGGGAAUUCUGUCGGACCAUUUAUCACGUGACUUGGGGGGCUGCCAGUGCUGAGUAGGACCCAGCACAAGAGAAAGCUCCGUGGCAGGUCCAGGCAGUGGUGCAAGCUGCUAUGCCGCCCUAGUACAAUCGUGUCUGGUCACAUCUGAGAUACCCACAUGGAUAAGGGCGCCAUAUGGACUCUCUGGAAGGCUUCAAAAAAGAGGAUUUUGCAGCACAAAUCUCUAGGGUGCCAAACCAAAGCCAUGGCUCCUGCAGCAGAGAAAUGCUUGUCAUUUUAAAACGACAUCCUGGGGUGCUGCUGGGCCCUGAUAGAGGCUUGUGCCUGACGAUGGGUCACCAACAACUAGGGGACCACAAGACCCCAUCACAAGCUGGGUAUUGCCAUACACACCAGGUUAUAAGAUCUGAGGAGAAGGGCAGCAGCUGUCCAAUUGCUUCAAACACAAGCAGAACCAGAAGGCACAAGCAAGUUACAUGAACAGAUGGCACCUGCCUCUUUGCAUCCAUAUUUCUCUUUUGACUCACAUCUAUGGCCUUGAGAGAGCUCCUUUUGAUAGAAGAGGGAAACUUCAGACCUGGUUCACAAAUGGGGCAGCACAAGAGGUUGUUACUAACCAGAAAUGGACAGAAGCUGCACUGCAGCCUCACUCAGAGCUUUAACUUUUGUCCAUGUUUGUAAGACUGAAGUUCUUGGUCAACUGGAUCAACAGAUAAUUCGCUGGCUGUGAUCUCUCUGGAUUUUUGUUUUGUUAUCUUUAAAUAUUAAUAUAUACAGGGUCUCAUUAUGU